rnacentral:rRNA from 1 species
GAUGAACGCUGGCGGCGUGCCUAAUACAUGCAAGUCGAGCGAACAGACGAGGAGCUUGCUCCUCUGACGUUAGCGGCGGACGGGUGAGUAACACGUGGAUAACCUACCUAUAAGACUGGGAUAACUUCGGGAAACCGGAGCUAAUACCGGAUAAUAUAUUGAACCGCAUGGUUCAAUAGUGAAAGACGGUUUUGCUGUCACUUAUAGAUGGAUCCGCGCCGCAUUAGCUAGUUGGUAAGGUAACGGCUUACCAAGGCAACGAUGCGUAGCCGACCUGAGAGGGUGAUCGGCCACACUGGAACUGAGACACGGUCCAGACUCCUACGGGAGGCAGCAGUAGGGAAUCUUCCGCAAUGGGCGGAAGCCUGACGGGGCAACGCCGCUUGAGUGAUGAAGGUCUUCGGAUCGUAAAACUCUGUUAUUAGGGAAGAACAAAUGUGUAAGUAACUAUGCACGUCUUGACGGUACCUAAUCAGAAAGCCACGGCUAACUACGUG